rnacentral:rRNA from 1 species
AUGUCGCCCGUGCACGUCCCGGAGCUCAGCAGCGGCGGGUCGGGGUCGGGGUCGCUCACCCUGAACCCCGUGCAGCGCGCGCUCACCCGGCUGUCGUCGUCGUCGGCCCUCACGCCCAGGUCGCCCCCGCCGUCCUACGGGAGCAUCGUCACCGUGCUCAGCAUCGACGGCGGCGGCGUCCGCGGCAUCAUCCCCGGAACCAUCCUCGCCUUCCUCGAAGAGAAGCUCCAGGAGCUCGAUGGGCCGGACGUGAGGAUCGCGGAUUACUUCGACGUGAUCGCCGGGACCAGCACCGGGGGCCUGGUGACGGCCAUGCUCACGGCGCCCGACGCCAAAGGACGCCCGCUCUUCGCCGCCAAGGACAUCAACAACUUCUACCUGGAGCACUGCCCAAAGAUCUUCCCUGCCGUCUACGGAGGGCCUCUGGGCUUGCUCAGGAGCAUGAGGGGGCCCAAGUACGACGGCCAGUACCUCCACUCCGUCGUCAAAGAGCUGCUCGGCGAGACGCGGGUCGGCGAGGCGCUGCAGAACAUAGUCAUCCCCACCUUCGACAUCAAGCUGCUCCAGCCAACCAUCUUCUCCAGAUACGACGCCCGGAACGACGUCUCCAAGAACGCUCUUCUGUCCGACGUCUGCAUCAGCACGUCGGCGGCGCCUACUUACCUCCCCGGCCACCACUUUGAGACCAAGGACAAGGAUGGCAAGCCCCGGGCAUUCAAUCUCAUCGACGGAGGCGUUGCCGCAAACAAUCCGACAAUGUUGGCCAUGACGGACGUAAGCAAGCAGAUCCUGCUGGGCAACCAGGACUUCUUCCCGAUCAAGCCGGCCGACUACGGCAAGUUCAUGGUGCUCUCCCUCGGCACCGGCUCCGCCAAGGUAGAGGAGAAGUUCGACGCCGCCGCGUGCAGCAAGUGGGGGAUCCUCGGAUGGCUCUACAACAAGGGCGCCACGCCGCUCAUCGACAGCUUCAGCCAGGCCAGCGCCGACCUCGUCGACAUCCAGGCGUCCGUGCUCUUCCAGGCGCUGCGCUGCGAGAAGCGCUACCUCCGCAUCCAGGACGACGAGCUCAAGGGCGACACAUCUUCCGUCGACGUGUCCACGCCCGAGAACCUCAACAGGCUCGUCGAGGUCGGCAAGGCGCUGCUCAAGAGGAGCGUGUGCAGGGUGAACGUGGAGACGGGCAAGACCGUGCCUGAUGACAAUAGAGGCACCAAUGAGGAGGAGCUAAUCAGUUUUGCACGGAUGCUGUCGCAGGAGCGCAAGGCCAGGCUGCAGAAGAAGGGAGUCACCGUCCCACAGUAA